CCUACGGGAGGCAGCAGUGGGGAAUAUUGGACAAUGGGGGGAACCCUGAUCCAGCCAUGCCGCGUGUGUGAAGAAGGCCCUCGGGUUGUAAAGCACUUUCAGUGAGGAAGAACGCCUGGUGGUUAAUACCCAUCAGGAAAGACAUCACUCACAGAAGAAGCACCGGCUAACUCCGUGCCAGCAGCCGCAGUAAUACGGAGGGUGCGAGCGUUAAUCGGAAUUACUGGGCGUAAAGCGCGCGUAGGUGGCUUGAUAAGCCGGUUGUGAAAGCCCCGGGCUCAACCUGGGAACGGCAUCCGGAACUGUCAAGCUAGAGUGCAGGAGAGGAAGGUAGAAUUCCCGGUGUAGCGGUGAAAUGCGUAGAGAUCGGGAGGAAUACCAGUGGCGAAGGCGGCCUUCUGGACUGACACUGACACUGAGGUGCGAAAGCGUGGGUAGCAAACAGGAUUAGAUACCCUAGUAGUC
rnacentral:rRNA from 1 species